GACGAACGCUGGCGGCGUGCCUAAUACAUGCAAGUCGAGCGGAAGUUGAAGAGCUUGCUCUUCAACUUUAGCGGCGGACGGGUGAGUAACACGUGGGCAACCUGCCCUGCAGAUCGGGAUAACUCCGGGAAACCGGUGCCAAUACCGAAUAGUUUUCGCCACCUCCUGGUGGCGUACGGAAAGACGGUUUCGGCUGUAACUGCAGGAUGGGCCCGCGGCGCAUUAGCUAGUUGGUGGGGUAACGGCCCACCAAGGCAACGAUGCGUAGCCGACCUGAGAGGGUGAUCGGCCACACUGGGACUGAGACACGGCCCAGACUCCUACGGGAGGCAGCAGUAGGGAAUCUUCCGCAAUGGACGAAAGUCUGACGGAGCAACGCCGCGUGAGUGACGAAGGUUUUCGGAUCGUAAAACUCUGUUGUGAGGGAAGAACAAGUACCACUUAACUACUGGUACCUUGACGGUACCUCACCAGAAAGCCACGGCUAACUACGUGCCAGCCGCCGCAGUAAAAC
rnacentral:rRNA from 1 species